AUUGAACGCUGGCGGCAGGCUUAACACAUGCAAGUCGAGCGGGGUGAUGGUGCUUGCACUAUCACUUAGCGGCGGACGGGUGAGUAAUGCUUAGGAAUCUGCCUAUUAGUGGGGGACAACAUCUCGAAAGGGAUGCUAAUACCGCAUACGUCCUACGGGAGAAAGCAGGGGAUCACUUGUGACCUUGCGCUAAUAGAUGAGCCUAAGUCGGAUUAGCUAGUUGGUGGGGUAAAGGCCUACCAAGGCGACGAUCUGUAGCGGGUCUGAGAGGAUGAUCCGCCACACUGGGACUGAGACACGGCCCAGAGUCCUACGGGAGGCAGAAGUGGGGAAUAUUGGACAAUGGGGGGAACCCUGAUCCAGCCAUGCCGCGUGUGUGAAGAAGGCCUUAUGGUUGUAAAGCACUUUAAGCGAGGAGGAGGCUCUUUUGGUUAAUACCCAAGAUGAGUGGACGUUACUCGCAGAAUAAGCACCGGCUAACUCUGUGCCAGCCGCCGCGGUAA
rnacentral:rRNA from 1 species